GGCGAGGUAGCCAAGCGGUCUAAGGCGCUAGACUAAGGCUUGAUCAUUGAAUCGAACCGAAUCUAGUUCUUCGGAGCGUGGGUUCGAAUCCCACCCUCGUCA
rnacentral:tRNA from 1 species